UACGAAGGGGCUAGCGUUGCUCGGAAUCACUGGGCGUAAAGCGCACGUAGGCGGACUCUUAAGUCGGUGGUGAAAUCCUGGAGCUCAACUCCAGAACUGCCUUCGAUACUGAGAGUCUCGAGUCCGGAGAGGUGAGUGGAACUGCGAGUGUAGAGGUGAAAUUCGUAGAUAUUCGCAAGAACACCGAUGCGAGGAGCGACUCACUGGCCGGUACUGACGCUG
rnacentral:rRNA from 1 species